rnacentral:rRNA from 1 species
AUUGAACGCUGGCGGCAGGCCUAACACAUGCAAGUCGAGCGGCAGCGGGAAAGUAGCUUGCUACUUUUGCCGGCGAGCGGCGGACGGGUGAGUAAUGCCUGGGAAAUUGCCCAGUCGAGGGGGAUAACAGUUGGAAACGACUGCUAAUACCGCAUACGCCCUACGGGGGAAAGCAGGGGACCUUCGGGCCUUGCGCGAUUGGAUAUGCCCAGGUGGGAUUAGCUAGUUGGUGAGGUAAUGGCUCACCAAGGCGACGAUCCCUAGCUGGUCUGAGAGGAUGAUCAGCCACACUGGAACUGAGACACGGUCCAGACUCCUACGGGAGGCAGCAGUGGGGAGUAUUGCACAAUGGGGGAAACCCUGAUGCAGCCAUGCCGCGUGUGUGAAGAAGGCCUUCGGGUUGUAAAGCACUUUCAGCGAGGAGGAAAGGUUGAUGCCUAAUACGUAUCAACUGUGACGUUAAUCGCAGAAGAAGCACCGGCUAACUCCGUGCCAGCCGCCGCGGUAAGAC